AUUGAACGCUGGCGGCAUGCCUUACACAUGCAAGUCGAACGGCAGCGCGGACUUCGGUCUGGCGGCGAGUGGCGAACGGGUGAGUAAUACAUCGGAACGUACCCUGUUGUGGGGGAUAACUAGUCGAAAGAUUAGCUAAUACCGCAUACGACCUGAGGGUGAAAGUGGGGGACCGGAAACGGCCUCAUGCAGCAGGAGCGGCCGAUGUCUGAUUAGCUAGUUGGUGGGGUAAAGGCCCACCAAGGCGACGAUCAGUAGCUGGUCUGAGAGGACGAUCAGCCACACUGGGACUGAGACACGGCCCAGACUCCUACGGGAGGCAGCAGUGGGGAAUUUUGGACAAUGGGGGCAACCCUGAUCCAGCAAUGCCGCGUGUGUGAAGAAGGCCUUCGGGUUGUAAAGCACUUUUGUCCGGAAAGAAAUCGCGCUGGUUAAUACCUGGCGUGGAUGACGGUACCGGAAGAAUAGGCACCGGCUAACGACGUGC
rnacentral:rRNA from 1 species